rnacentral:rRNA from 1 species
UACGUAGGGGGCAAGCGUUGUCCGGAAUUAUUGGGCGUAAAGCGCGCGCAGGCGGUUCUUUUAGUCGGGUGGUUAAGCUCGGGGCUCAACCCCGAGUCACCCCGGAAACGGGAGAACUUGAGUGCCGAAGAGGAGAGUGGAAUUCCACGUGUAGCGGUGAAAUGCGUAGAUAUGUGGAGGAACACCAGUGGCGAAGGCGACUCUCUGGCCGGCAACUGACGCUGAGGCGCGAAAGCGUGGGGAGCAAACAGG